rnacentral:rRNA from 1 species
UACGGAGGAUCCAAGCGUUAUCCGGAUUUAUUGGGUUUAAAGGGUGCGUAGGCGGGUUUCUAAGUCAGUGGUGAAAGCCUGCAGCUUAACUGCAGAAUUGCCAUUGAUACUGGUAACCUUGAGUACAGUUGAGGUGGGCGGAAUGUGUCAUGUAGCGGUGAAAUGCUUAGAUAUGACACAGAACACCGAUUGCGAAGGCAGCUCACUAAACUGCUACUGACGCUCAGGCACGAAAGCGUGGGGAGCAAACAGG